rnacentral:piRNA from 1 species
UUAUAUAGAGCGUGUGUGGUAUUAUGU